rnacentral:lncRNA from 1 species
CCAAAGCCACCAUGCAAGAAAAGGGUGAGAGAAUGACUGCACAUGACCCGACUCGAAAGGAGAUGGCAACGAAGAAAAAGGAGGCUAUAAUAAAUCAAGCAUAGUAUGAGAAACAGGUGGCAAGCAAGCAAAAUGCCACGCAGAGACUGGUGACUGAAGCCGUUGAGACGCACUCCUACUUUGCCACCAGAGCCACUGCCCACUGGCAAUCCUAUGGGGAGCCACCAGAUGUCAUCCUUGCUGGGACAUGGAACCGAAGCGCCUGUUGGUAGUGUUGUGGAAGGAGUUGUUGGGUCUCACCCAAUUGGAAGGGACAUGGGCACCGAUACCACUCUGGCUGGGCAUAACACGAAAACUGGUGGUGGAGGUGCUGGUGGAUAUAGCUCUAAGGGAGUGUAGCAUUGAUUUAAUUCAAGUUUGAUGUAAAUCUUUUCGUUUGCCAUCUAUGUGGUUAAAUAAUUAAAUUAAU